CCCACUUUCUUUCUCCAUAGGUAAAUUAUAUACGGUUUUGAUUGUCUAUGCCAGAGAUGAACGCAGUGUUUACGGUAACCUAUUAACUUGUACUUGGGAUGUUGAUUUAGGGUUUUUGUGUCAUGUUUUAUCAGUUGAUUGCCGCAGGUUUCACAUAUGUAUAUAUGAAUGAUCUAGUUUAGAGUCAGGAUAUUAAACAAUGUUUGACUCAUUAUAAGGUGAGUAGGAUCUGGAUAGAACUGUUGUUGUGCACAUCCACUAUCAGAAUACCUACACUAAUAAUUUAAUUGGUUAUAUGUCGUUGCAACUGAAUUUUGCCUGAAUCCUGAAUCCUGAAAUUGUCCAAGUUCAAUGUUAUCAAGUCAUCAUCUUAAGAAACUGAAGUAUUACCUGGUAAUUGGCUCUUCUUGAUAAGCUAGCCACUUAAAAUCAUUUCUUGUGAAGAGCAUUUCCUUCUUUUCUAAAACUUAUUUUGUUGUAUAAUAUAGGCACAAAGAAACUAGAUGUGAUUAAGAAAAUCGAAUUAAAUAUUCUAGUCAGCCGUUUCAAAAUAUUCAAAAGAUUAUAUUCUUCUUGAAGCAAUAUAAAGUCAAUAUUUAUCAACCAAGUUGAUAAUAAUGAAAUAAAAGAAAUCAAAACAUGUAAGUUACAUAUUUAAUUGCCGCUAAGCUUGAAAACUUAACCAAAGAAAGUUUCCCUCUGAUUAAUUAACCAUUAUCUUAAAUUGUGUUGUUGUAUAUAGUCUUUAAACCUUCGAUUAAGUUGUGUAGAAAACAUGGAGGAGUCGAGCGAGAGGGUUGUUCGGUUAGAGCAACACGAUGAGAUCACGAUGGGCGAUGACUUGGUUAUCCAUUCCAUCCCACAGGACCUAGCACUAGCAGUAUCGGCGAUAUAUGAUCGCAUGAUGGUAGAUGUGGAGGGAGUUAUUGUUUAACCAAAUCAGAGACACCUUCCUCUCGUAUACCACCCCAUCAUACUUAGGCUUCGUCGGUCUCCCCGACGAAGAAUGUCAACGACCACGGCCAGCUCUUUGUAAGGCUAGACGGAGACGCGAUCCUCCGCCUCGAGUAUCUAGACGAUCCUCGCAGGUGUCUCCACCGAUUUAUCUACGCCAUAGGUUUCUGCCACAGUCACGUAAAGACUCUUCUUCUCGACGCCAACGUUGAUCUUCUAAUCAUUUAUAUGAUAUGAUGUUCUUUGUGUCAUUGUGUGUUGUGUCUACAUAUCAUAAUAAUAAUCGGAUGUCUCCGAAGUGUGUACAGUUUAUUUGAAAUUCUGGUAUACAACAAUAAACCGGGAAAUUAUGUACCAACUCCCGGUUAUUGAGACUAUAAAUCUCUCUCUAUCUAUAUCU